UACAGAGGUCUCAAGCGUUGUUCGGAUUCAUUGGGCGUAAAGGGUGCGUAGGUGGCGUGGUAAGUCGGGUGUGAAAUUUCGGAGCUUAACUCCGAAACUGCAUUCGAUACUGCCGUGCUUGAGGACUGGAGAGGAGACUGGAAUUUACGGUGUAGCAGUGAAAUGCGUAGAGAUCGUAAGGAAGACCAGUGGCGAAGGCGGGGUCUCUGGACAGCUCCUGACCACUGAGGCACGAAGGCCAGG
rnacentral:rRNA from 1 species